GCGUUGACCUUUUUUGAGUUGGGCGUUGACCAAAAGUUGAUCAAGCCUUGAUGGGCGUUGACUUUGCCUACAGGCGUUGACCGACCCCGCCGGGCGUUGACCAGCCAUGUUGGGCGUUGACCGGCCUCAAUUUGAUGUUGAAUGAGCGUCGACUCGACAUUUUCGGGUCAAAGUUCGUGGUAGGUGACGAAGCCUUUGUGUUGGCUUCCCACAGACGGCGCCAAUGUUAACGUUAGUGAUUCG
rnacentral:lncRNA from 1 species